GGAGGAAGAGGAGGAGGAGGAGGAGGAGGAGGAGCAGGAGGAGCAGCAGGAGGAGGAGGAGGAGGAGGAGGAGGAGGAGGAGGGAGAGAAAUGUAUUAGACUCCAUUAAACCAAAAUACCAAAAAAUGUUACUUGGGUCUACCAGGAGCUUGGAAUAGGCCAUGCAUAUGCCCCAUUCUGACAGCUGGUAUUACGUCCAAACCUCUCUGAGCACUCACACUAACACCACACAUGGGUAUCGCGGGCACGGACACACGAAGACGCAAAAACAUGCCAAAACAAGGCUGAAAAAGAACAAACAUUUGCCUUGAACAGCGCGAUGGCAAGCUUAUGGGCUGUGACAAGGUGAGAAAUACAUGAAUCCAUUGACCACCUCCACACAGGGAACGGAAGCUCUCUGGGAAACACAUCGCAAGACAGGAGACAAGAUUAUAGGCCUGGAUGUUGUCUAAGCCUACCCCCGGAAACAUGGGACUUGUGGAUAAGCAAACAUGUAUAUCUGGCUUGUUGAACUCAUCAGGGAGACACAGAAAUGGUACAGGGAGGUUUUGUUCCACUUAUACGUGUUCGAAUCGCGUAUAUCCCGAUGUUAGUCAAGAGGGGCAACAAAGAACUAUCGCUCAAUGAAUUCUGGAAUGUUAUAUAUAUUUUUCUGUAACGAAUUAUAUGUAAAUACGAGAUAUUGAGACAUACAGCUGUUUCCCUCUCUCUCUCUCUCUCUCUCUCGACCCGGGGGGGACCUAGGGGGACACGCCGACCACCACAACUACCACAACUACCACAUCGACACUCGCUGUGGUAUCUCGCAUCCUCUACCAUUUACAGAACAUAUAAAACAUCGCUUUCAAAUACCACACGAGAGACACACACGAAGCUUGGUUCGGCAAAAUGGCCAGAUGUAAACAAAGGAAGAAGGAGAUAAACAAAGAGAGAGAGAGAGAAAGAAAGAAAGAAAGAGAGGAACACAAGAAGGGUACAAUCCCUGCCCAGCCAUAGCACUGAAAGGGUUAAUAGGCUUCCUCAAAAACUCAUUGAACCAGAAUUUAAUGGAUUCCAAAUAUGUCCCGUACAAAAAUAUUCAUAUAAAAUCAACUAAUGUCCUAAUUCCCUUCUGCUUAGACUCAUUAGAUGCAGAAUUUAAUGAGGAUUCCAAAUAUGUCCUCGGAAUUGAUGUAGCAUUAGUAAUUACUGACUUAAUAGCAAUUUUAUGAAGGUAACCCUAAUUUUUCAGGACAAAUUUCACCUAGAGGAAUGAACAAAAAAAUUAAUAUAAAAUCAACUAAUGUCUUAAUUAACUUCUACUUAGACUCAUUAGAUGCAGAAUUUAAUGAGGAUUCCAAAUAUGUCCUCGGAAU